UCUGUGUACAAAUCACCCAGGAAAUGACAGACAAAAUUGGAGAUUGGAGAAGAACAGUCAAAAUUCUGAAGAGAAAUUAAGUGGCCUUGAUGAAAAAGAAAGAAUGAAAAUCUCUCUGAGCAGAGGAAUCCUGGAAAAAGGUUGAGAAAUGCAAGAAUAUAAAUUACCUCCAGUUCCUUGAUUCCUGCUGUGUUCAUUCCAACAGGGGUUUAAAAACUCUUUCUAAAUUGAUGAUCUAUAUCAAAUGUGUAGGUUGCUCUCAAAGUAAUGCCUUCCAGUUCCUCAGAAAUACAGUAAAUAAAGUACAAUAUAUACAAAGAGCUCAAUAGCACUAUUUGACCAACCAAUUCUCAGCUGCAAAAUGCUAUUUUGCAACAUAGUCACCACCAUUAGUUGUGCAUUUUCAACAUCUUUGAACAAGAGCCUGCAUACUGCAUUCAUAGAUGCCUGCAACAACAGAGAACACACACUGUCGUCACCACUGCAGAAAGGCACCACCCACUGCCUCGCUGUGCUCACAUCCACUGUUUCAUCUCCAAAAAUGCUCAGCAAGCAUCAGUGAAUGCCCAUGGGUGCCAAUUCUUCUGCAUGAAUCGGAACCCUCCUUUGUAGGUGUUAUAUACCCUUCACCUUUAAAACAGAGCAAGAUUGAAUCGGAGGAUCAUGAGGGAUGGAAGGGACCUCUGGAGAUCACCUAAUUCAACCCCGCUGCUAAAGCAGGUCUGAAAAGGUUUAUUUCCACAAUGGUCUCCUAGGAAUCAAGAAAUACUCCCCUGAUGACAACUGCUGACUUCCUUCGUUUUUCUUUCUGCCCUGUCUUGCUUUGUUUAACAAUAGCUUUUCAAAGCUAAAUGUGCACUUACAUAUACACUUUACUGUGAUGGAAACCUAGCUUAUCGAAGAACCUACAUUAUCCUCUGCUGUUAAUAUACCAAUAAAAUUCUGUUUCUCACACCAAAGUGGAUUCUGUUGCAUUUAAUACAAACUUUGGAAUUCAUAUCACAUAGCAGCCAUAACUAACCAUUAAUUUCUUUUCUUUCUGUUGCCAAGGACUUUGUAUUACUAAACCAAAUCAAAUAAUACCUAAGACAGACUUUCCCAAAUCCCGU
ensembl:lncRNA